CUACGGAGGGUGCAAGCGUUAAUCGGAAUUACUGGGCGUAAAGCGUACGUAGGCGGUUCGUUAAGUUAGAUGUGAAAGCCCCGGGCUUAACCUGGGAACUGCAUUUAAAACUGGCGAACUAGAGUUGAGUAGAGGGGAGUGGAAUUUCAGGUGUAGCGGUGAAAUGCGUAGAGAUCUGAAGGAACACCAGUGGCGAAGGCGACUCCCUGGACUCGAACUGACGCUGAGGUACGAAAGCGUGGUAGCAAACGGGAUUAGAAACCCGAGUAGUCC
rnacentral:rRNA from 1 species